GCAUCCAUGGCUGAAUUGUGAAAGCGCCCAAUCGGGCAAAUUCGUUGGUUCGAUUCCUGCUGGAUGCG
rnacentral:tRNA from 1 species